AAAAAACCCUUAAAAAAUAACAUUGCUCCAGUUUGUCUGCAGGACUGUGAUACAUACAUGAAAUCACUUGAUUUUGUUCCAUAGUCCCUGAGGCUUCAAGUUAUUUCCUUGAUUGUGCAUCCAUUUGGAUAGCGUCUAUUGCUAUAUCUUUAAGUUCUUGGAUCUUUUUAUACAAUGUUUAAUUGGUUGUUAAUCCUUUGUCAUGUAUUUUCAUUUUAAAGCUUGUAUUUUUUAUCAAUAUAAAUUUGAUUUGGAAAUUUUCUACAUUUCCUACCUUAUCACAUUCAUGUUUUCUUAUAUAUUUUGAGUAUAUAGAAUGCAUUUAUAAUUACUGUUUUAAUGUCCACUUCUGCCUAUUCCAUCAUCUUAUUAUUUCUGAGUUUGUUUCUAUUGAUAAUGAAACACAUUUUCUGUUUUCUCUAUAUAUGUUAGUUUUUGAUUGACUGCUGUAUAUUUUACAUUGUUAAAUGUUAGAUUUUGUUGUGCAUCUUUAAAGAAUAUUGACCUUUUAUUUUGUUGCAGUCAGUUAAAUUGCAUGUGCAUUACUUUGAGCCUUUUGAGAGUUGUUUUAACCUCUUUUUUUUUGGGUAGGUCUAGAGUGGCCAUUAUUCUAGAGAAAAUUUAGAUUUUUUUUUUAAAGGUUUGGUCUUUCUAGGGUCCCUACUGAAUAGCCCAUCGUUUAGAGAGGAUGUCUCCACACCUGUUAGAGGAAACACAAGAGAUUGUCAGUUUUAGGUGACCUCUGGCAGUUGUUAGACUUACAGCUUCCUUGUAAUAGUUCUUCCCUUGAAAGCUGUUCUGGUCUAUGCUUGUUGGGUUUUACCUUAUACAUGCAUUGAAUGAUCUUCAACCAAAGACUCAAGGAGACCCCUAUGCAGAUUUCUGGAAUCUUUUAUCUGUGUUACCCAUUCUUCUGCCUCUGCUUUUCCAAACGCCAACUUCUACCUUUAUUGGUCUGGAAUAUAAACUCUGGGAGAUUGUUAGACUCUGUUAUUUUGAAAUCUCCUUGCCCACAUUCAGUAUUACCUUAGGCAGGAACUAUUUUUCUGUUUUGUUAGGAUCACUGUCCUCCACUGCCUGUUGUCCAAUGUCUGAAAAUAGUCAUCUUCUAUGUUUUGGGCAAUGUUUCAGUUGUUUUUAGCAGGAGGGAAAUUGUUGAUUGUUUUACUCUUAUGUUUGGAAAUGUAAGUUCCCUAUGUGUUUUUAUUUUUCUCUUAUUUCCCCCAUGUGACUUGCUAAUUUGAACUCCUCUUCUGCUCUGGGAAACUGUUUUAAACUAAAGUUUAGGACUUUAUAUUUAUUUUUAUGAAUGUCCAUUUUAUUUUGCACCAUUAUCCUAUCAUAUAGAGUCUUUUUUAAAUUCGUUACCCAUAAUGUUAAUUCUCCUUUUCAGUUCUUGCCACUCUCAAACUCUUUAAUAUUACUUCUUGGUAAUAAUUGAAGUGUUUGCCAAAAUGUUAUUAAGCAACUGCAGGGUAAUUAAGACUAACAUUUUGGUUAACUGUGAAAUGCUAAUAAAAUAUUUUGUAUCUGGUUUGACUACAAAUUGCCAAGUGGUGAAGUAGUCCCUAAGCAGCCCGCAGUUGCUAGGUUUGUGUGCCACAUUUCUAUAGAUUCUAUUGGUGAGGAAACAAUCAGCCCUAGUGGAUAUAGGUGGUGUAUUGUCCUUGGUGCAGCAAGCAGCAGGAGCUUUUUGUUCAGAGCAGUUCUCCUUGCCUCCCUCAUCUCCCUGAGGGUGCUUUCGAGUGGGCCAGGGUAGGAUGCUAUACACAGUAUAUCUGUAUCCCACCUGAGGGAAACUCAGUUUAGGAAACUCCUCAUUUUAUAAAGGACUCUUAGCAAAUAUGUCCAUCAUCCCCUCCAGACUCUAUCUUUAUUGCUCUGGAAUAUAAACAAAUCUACUCCAGGGAAAGAAGGGAAGUUUCACUCUCCUGGAGUAUCUUCUUAUAUAAUCAUUGUCCAGUUGGCUGUAAAUGUCUUUGCUCAAAACACCCACAGCCUGAAAAAGUGCCAGAGAUGCAGAGAGAAUUGUCUUCUAAUAGAAAUAUUCAAACAUCUGUUAACUUCGGGACAGUUUCAUCUUGUAUAAUGUUAGGGGAAAAUUCAUGUGUAGUCAAAAUUGUUCUUGAAUAUCAUUAAAUAAUGUGAAAGACUUAUAUACAGGAAUUUGUAUGUUAAAUCCUAUACAGUAAUAAGUAUGUCAAAUAUAUAAUGAAAGAUGAGACCAUGACCCUGGGUAAUGUGCACAUUCUGCUAAUUGCUCUUCCUCUCCACCUGUCACUAUUAAAUUUAUUUUUUUCCCUUUUGCCUAGUGUUGUGUUUGAGUAAGUUAAUUAUGAGUAUGAUAAAACUUGAGUGCAUUGCAUAUAUUUCUAAUUUUUUCCACAAAGAUAUCAUAAAGGAACAUGUCAAUGCCUUUUUCAAAAAUCUUUUUUUUUUUUUAUUAUGCUGAUGAAAUUUCCCUGAGUUUACAGUUUGGAAGUCCAAUAAUAAGAAAAUGCAAUUAGUCUGACAUGACAUACUUAGUUAACUCAAAAUGAUUUCUAAGAAUAACUCUUUUUUUAUACACUCUAAACAGCAUAUAUAAAAGUAAAACCUCUGUACUUUGGGGGCCAUUUGCUUUAAUUUCUUUGGUAGUUGACUUGUGAAAUAAAUUGUUUAUGCCAGCUAGCCCCAACAGAAAAGCCAUUAAACUUUUUGGAUGUUGUAGAUGUUUCUCUGUUUUCCUACUUUAUGUCAAACUGGCAAAGAGGUGAUAGUUACAAUAUGAUUUUGAGAACAAACAUUAUCUCAGAGUAACUAUUCUAAUUGAUUUUUGAGAAGGUCUAACCCUUUCUUGUUAACAGUUUGGAGAUACCAGACAAAAUAAAUAGUAGAAAGUCAGACAAGACAAAACUUACAUAAUGCUAAUGCUGUUUAGUAUGCUAAUCAAUUGACUUACCUUCUAAAAGUUAUGAUCUUCAACUCGUUUCAUAUUUGGUGAGAGCCUACUAUAUUUAAGGGCUGUCUAAGUGCCAAGGGCAUUCAAAAAAAGAUGGUAAGUUAAGUAACAGUAAAGUCCUUGAAUAAUUCAAGACAACAAUAAAAUCAAUGUCACAAUGCAUAAUAGUCAAUGAGUUGCUCAAGCAACAAUUUUGCUCCAAACUCAGAUGCACAGUGGCUCUAACUUCAAGCAAGAAUCGUCUGGGAGAUGUUUGCAGAGAUGGAGUGUGGAUGGGCUUAGCAUGAGUGGGGAAGACAGGCAAGGACCUUAUGAGUCAGUGUGCCCUUGCUAAUAAAAGUAUAGAGGGAGGGAAAAGCAGAGAGUUGUGGAUGAGCCAGUUUGAGGGACCUGUGAUUUUUAAGGAAGGCUACUGAAUGGAGAAACAGAAAGAAAGCCUGGAGCCCAAUUGUUCAAGGCCUUCAAUACCAAGUUCAUGAGUAUGAACAAGCAGGCCAAUAGAGUUAUCAUAUUAAGCAGUGAGAGGAGAAGAAAGACUGUGAGUAAUUAAGGUCAAUGAUUUUUGUAACAAAAAAACCCUGGUGUGGUAAAGUGAACACUGUCAGAAUGGACCCUCCAAGAGCACGCUGCCUAUUUUCAGGUUUGGGGAUAGUUCUUUAUUCCACAUAUAACUUUUACUCAAUUUCCUAAAUAAUAAGCUCUCAGGAGCCUGGAGAAGAAGGCACCCAGCUUGCAAACUUAAUUGAUAAUAUAGUUUUAACUCACUGAAGUUUACCUUUUCUCAAUCCUCUAGAAGUCACAGCUCAGAUUUAAAAGGCUUGCAUUGUGGUUGGGGGAGGAAGCAGUAAACAUGUAUGCUGUAUCAGUUAGUAUGAAGUUCUAAGUUGAAAAAUAAAGUAGAGAAGAGUGUCAGGGGGUGUGGUAAUUUCAGAGGGGAUGGGGUUAGAGAAGACCUCAUUGAGAAGGCAGGACUGACGACAGAUAAAUAAGUGAGGGAACAGCUAGGAGACAUACAAGUGGCAGAAAGAGCAAGGGUUAAGGCCUUGAAGCAGGAACAAAAAGACCAGAGUGGAUGGAGUCACGUGGCCAAGUUGGGGAGCGGUUAGGGAUGAGAUGGGAGAAGUUGGGAGACAGGGAAUCGGGCAAGACCUUGCAGGUCUCAAUAAAAACUUUACUCUGAAUGAGGUGGGAAGCCAUUGGGACCUUUUCAUAGUGAAGCAAUGUAAUUUAUCCUACUGUUUAUCAUUGCAUCUGAGAUACCUUAAAAUGUAAGGCCUGACAUUAUUUUAUUUACUCCUGGAAAAAAUAUUGUCAUUUAAACUAUGGCCCAAAACUUUCUUAAUUGUUGUUUGUAAUUCUCCUCCUGAUUUCAGAAAUGUUAACAUG
rnacentral:lncRNA from 10 species